rnacentral:rRNA from 1 species
UAGUCCACGUCGUAAACGAUGUCUACUAGCCGUUGGGGGCUUGACCCUUUAGUGGCGCAGCUAACGCGAUAAGUAGACCGCCUGGGGAGUACGGUCGCAAGAUUAAAACUCAAAUGAAUUGACGGGGGCCCGCACAAGCGGUGGAGCAUGUGGUUUAAUUCGAUGCAACGCGAAAAACCUUACCAGGCCUUGACAUCCAGAGAACUUUCUAGAGAUAGAUUGGUGCCUUCGGGAACUCUGUGACAGGUGUUGCAUGGCUGUCGUCAGCUCGUGUCGUGAGAUGUUGGGUUAAGUCCCGUAACGAGUGCAACCCUUAUCCUUAUUUGCCAGCACAUAAUGGUGGGAACUCUAAGGAGACUGCCGGUGACAAACCGGAGGAAGGAGAGGAUGAUGUCAAGUCAUCAUGGCCCUUACGGCCUGGGCUACACACGUGCUACAAUGGACGGUACAGAGGGCCGCGAAGCCGCGAGGUGGAGCAAAUCCCUAAAAACCGUUCGUAGUCCGGAUCGGAGUCUGC